rnacentral:lncRNA from 10 species
GUGGCCUCUUCAGGUUGUGUGUGUGGUGGCCUGGCAUUCAAUCUGUGAGGUGGAUGCGUGUUGGAAGGACCCCUUUUGGUUUCUUUUUGCUCAGAGCUUUCUUUUAAUAAAUUCCGCUCUCCUCACCUUUCAAUGUGUCCGUAUGCCUAAUUUUUCCUGGUCCUGUGACAAGAACCUGAUUUUAGCUGAACUAAGGAGCGAAAGAUCCUGGAUCAUUUUGGUGACCCAUACUGGUACAUGAGGAAAGCAGGUCACAAAACCCUCCUGUGAGAGGAACCCUCUGUGGAAGAACAGAAUAUGUCACCCCAAAAUAUGAAGAAUUGUUGAGCUGAAGAUGAUUAAGAAGAAGCGGAUGCAGGAAAGCUCUCUGCUCUCCCUCUAUUUGCUUAAAAGCAGGAUAAACACUUACAAAGACUAAAGACGCCACAAUCAAGAACUCAGAAGGGUAGAAGAAAAAGAUAGUUUCCCUUCCCUACACAGGGUCCAUGCAUUCAGUGGAGUAAUGAUUCCUGUCCAUGAAAAAAAAAAAAGAAAGUAGAAAAUUUCAGAGAAGAGAAAAAUUUUCCACUUGGGAGCAAGGGCAUGAGGGCAGCGGGGAAGUGGUAGAUAUACUGACAUGUUAAUAUAUUAGGUCUUGUAUUUCUUUUGUACAUAGUCUUUCUUCUUUGACUGCCUCGUUCAUGCAUCUCCACUACUUGAAAAAUUAUUUAAUUUACAAGCAUGUGCCAAAGUCCUACAUCAUGCUUCCUCUAAGAUUCUAUGCAAGCCAAUUCAAAGAUUUCUCUCUUAAAAAUAUUUGUAUGAAAAAAAGACAUGGCUAGGAAAUCACUGUUCAGUAGGAUAAAAUAAAAGUGC